rnacentral:rRNA from 1 species
AUACGGAGGAUCCGAGCGUUAUCCGGAUUUAUUGGGUUUAAAGGGAGCGUAGGCGGACGCUUAAGUCAGUUGUGAAAGUUUGCGGCUCAACCGUAAAAUUGCAGUUGAUACUGGGUGUCUUGAGUACAGUAGAGGCAGGAGGAAAUCGCGGGGUAACGGGGAAAUGCUUAGAUAUCACGAAGAAAUCCGAUUGCGAAGGCAGCCUGCUGGACUGUAACUGACGCUGAUGCUCGAAAGUGUGGGUAUCAAACAGGAUUAGAUACCCUGGUAGUCCACACAGUAAACGAUGAAUACUCGCUGUUUGCGAUAUACAGCAAGCGGCCAAGCGAAAGCGUUAAGUAUUCCACCUGGGGAGUACGCCGGCAACGGUGAAACUCAAAUGAAUUGACGGG